GGGGCGCGCAGAAAGACAGGAGGAAAACCCGCCUCUAGAGCAGGGACUCCCGGGAUGAGUAGUUUUUAUGGGUCUCCGGGUAAGUCUUAGGCGACUACACGCCCCAUCGGUCACUUCGGUAGUCGCAGAGACGGGAAGGAGAGCAUUUCGGUACUUGAAGUUCCCCAGGGAGCCCCUUGGGCGCUACGAUUUAUGGGAAAUAUGGUGCGCUUAGUAACUGCAAGUGGUGUCGGGAAUGAGAGAAAGUGUGGGAAGGUUGGCGGACUAUGGAGAAGGGCUUAAAGGAAACGUAAUCCGUAAAUGAGCUGUUGAAGCUCCCGAGUUGGCUGAGACUGUGAGUUAGAAUAAAGCACAUCCAAAAGAGGCUGGGCACGAGGGACCCGUACGAAGUGGGCUGCAAGCCAGGAAGAAGCGAGGCUGGCUGAUGAUAAACAUCUGAGCGCUGAAAUACAGUAAAUGUGACGUAAGAGGGAGGAGGCCCAUGACCAGGGUGCACAGCCAGGAGCACACUUCACCCUGCAGCCUGGAGCCUGGAGCUGGAGCCUGGAGCCUGGAGCCUGAAGCUUGGCCUGACAAUGCGGCAACUAGUGAGACAGAAAUAGGGGCAGGACUUGGAAGCCAGGGCCAGCCUGAGAAAUUCCAGUAUACAUGGGGUGGAGCCCAGAAAUCUGGACCUUUGGCUGGAAAGCAGGGGAAAUGAAACAGAAGGUUAUGCUUGGGGGGCAACCAAGCAUAGUCACGGGCAGGGGUACCGUGUAGGAAUCAGGCUAGAGGCCCCUGCGCAUGGACGUCCAAGACGGCCAGCCCUAUUUCUCCCAGAAGAGAGGCCGCCAGGCUUAAUCCUCCAAAGGUGAUACUGGAAGACGCUCCACUGGAAAAUCAUUCAGCGCGAGAGGAAAGACCUCAGGAAUCUGACAUCAGGGGCUCCCUGCAAACUGCCCAGUCAGAGGAUUCUGACUUCCAGUUUCCAGCUGAUGAGCCCACCCACGUCCCAGGGCCACAAGGUAGCUUUUCAACUCCUCAUUCUUAAACAAGGCUUAUAUGCUGAGGAAAGCCUCUCACAGGAGAGAUGGAGAUGAAAAAGGACACGAAGACUGAGAAAGUACAGGAAGAAGAACACUCGAUAGGUUUUAGCUACCAAUAGGGACUGGCAGGUGAUGUGGUGGUUAAAGUGUUGAACUCCCACUUGGCUGACUGCGGUUCAAG